AUCCAACCUACACACAGCUCCACAUGCAUGCCGCUGAUGAGAGGAAACCCCUACCAACUGCCCAAUUGCCUUGUGGUGUCUUAAUAAGCUGCAGUAUAAUUUAAUUAAAGACAAUUAGAUACUGAAGUGCGAUCUUAAAUCAGACACGAGUUGAAUGAGGUUAAGCGCAAACUAAAAGCUGGGAAGAAGGAUUAACCUAUUUAGCAUAAGAAGUCCAUCAGAAUUCAUAAGAAUAAACCAGUGGCUGCAACCAGCAACAGCUAAAUGAGGUAAUGAGGUGACAGUUAUUGACCACUAAUGACUGAAUAUUAGCGUAAGAUUAUUUCAUCAUCACUGCUAUGCCACUUGCAUGAUAAUACAACUGAAAUGCAAUGUUUCAGCCCUUGGAGUCUGUUGAGAAAAUACAAAGCCCAGAAGCACCGUUUUCCUCUUGAGAGGCAUAGAGCUGUCUCCUGGCUUUCACUUGAAGCGUAAAGUGCUCAAUUGAGUGCACACAUAAUGAUUCACUAUUGACAUUGUUAUCGCAAUGAAGUCUAGAUAAUGAAGAUCAGGAGUGCAGUAAUAGGAGUUGACAGUUCCAGAGUUUGCUGGGAGUGUUAAUCUUUUGAAAAACUUCUGACUGAAAGUUUCUAUGGGCUGAAGGAGGGAACAUCUGAGAAAAGGAAACAGCAACCAAAAACAACGUAAGGGAAAUGAGUGCAGGAAGAUGCCAGAACAAUUGGAGUGCUUAUGCUUGGAAGGAAAGAGGACUGCACUGAUAGAAGCUCAUAUCCAAAAUCUGAGGAAUUUCAUUCAUCUUCUCAUCACUAAUUAUAAGGAUCAGAAAAAUACAUUUCUCCAUCAUGGCUUGAUCUAGAGAAUAUCUGGACUUCACAAAUAAGGCAGCAAUACCAGUAUGUUGUAACUAAAGUAUUCCUACGUCAAAUGCGUGUUACCAGCAGUGCUUUUUCCAUCUCACAGGAUAUUUUUGUUUAAAAAAAUAAUUUUCAGCACAGAAGUGAUUUCCUUUUUUACACCUCUCUAAAAUCCUAUUUUGCUUCUCAGUCAGCUCUGGAGAAU